AGAAGCAGUGGACCUGGACCUGAAGAUCGUUCGGGGGGUUCAUUAUUAGAGUCUGAGAGCGCCUUCAUCGCUCAUAGUGGGAUGCUUCCAGUGCCUCCAGAGGAGACGAGAGGGGCUCCCCUGUCGGCACGGGAACGACGCAGACUAAAGACACAACAAAACAAUGUGACCAGCCUGGCCAUAGAGAUGCUUCAGAGAGACCCAGCUCCAUGGAAACAGUUGCUAUGCAGACAUGGUUACGCUUCGACUCCUCAACCAAACAGACUAACAGAGAGACUAAAUGUCUAAAGUGGACAUGAAUCACGACAGAACAAACACUAACACACACACACACACACACACACACACACACACACACACACUCACACACACACUCACUCACACACAGUCACACACACACACACACACACACACACACACACACUACAGGGGAAGAAUGCCUAAAGUGGACAUGAAUCACGACAGAACAAACACUUACACAAUGUGUACAAUAAUGUAUAAUAAUAAUUGUAAAUAAUUGUAAACAAAAUA